rnacentral:rRNA from 1 species
CCCUUAGAUGUUCUGGGCCGCACGCGCGCUACACUGAUUCAAUCAACGAGUUUAUAACCUUGACCGAGAGGUCUGGGUAAUCUUGUAAAUCUGAAUCGUGAUGGGGAUUGGUCCUUGUAAUUCUUGACCAUGAACGAGGAAUUCCUAGUAAACGCGAGUCAUCAGCUCGCAUUGAUUACGUCCCUGCCCUUUGUACACACCGCCCGUCGCACCUACCGAUUGAAUGGUCCGGUGAAUCCUUCGGACAGCGACUUAUGUUUCCUUAAUUGUGAGACGUUGUUGCUGGAAGUUGUGUAAACCUUACCAUUUAGAGGAAGGUGAAGUCGUAACA